rnacentral:lncRNA from 1 species
GUUACUCUCUCCAUGGCCUAAUCAGAUGGUUUUCCUGGACCUGAAAGGACAGAACAGGGGCAGCGUUGUUACUCAGAGGUCAAAGAAUAUAAGACAUUACUUGGAAUCUGACUUCAGCAUGGAGGUGGGUUGAGAUGAUUCAUGAUGUGUGUGUGUGUGUGUGUGUGUGUGUACUUUGAGGUAAAAGGAGUGUCACUGAAGUAACAGACAUCUUUUCUAGGAGGAGGAAAGGAAUCUGAGAUUAGGGUUCCAGGGGCUCUGAAAAAGGCAGGCAAUUUCAUUGUUCUUUAGGUUAUCUGUUAACCACCUUAAUCAGAUAAUCUAAGACUUCUUUUUGGCUAAUAAUAUCAUUUAUUUCUCCUCUCCUAUUUGUCUUUUAUACUUUGUCAGUGGUUUCCAUGCUUGGCUGUGCAUCAAAAUUACUUAUGGAGCUUUUUAAAGAGUUCCCAGACACUGGGUCCCAGCCCCAGUAUCCCCCACUCCCUAUUUCAAGUUCCAUGAAGGAUUCCAGUGCACAGGCAGAAUGGAAAACAGCUCUUCGUGCUGUGAAGUGCCCUCCAUCCUUCAGAGAGAUUUUGUGUGCUUCGUCUUGCCUGAUACCCAGGGCAAGACCAGGCUGGGAAACUAAGGAUAUGGUGGUUAAAUGGUGUUUUUAAGGUCAGACAGCUUGUACAGGCUGGAACCAGGUGGGCUGGAACCUGGGUUCUUUUGCUCCUGACCCAGUCAAAAAGGGUAGACUGGGUCAAAAAGACCCAGUCAAAAAGCCAGUCAAAAAGACCAAGGCUUGGUCUUGACCUACCAUGGAGAAGCAGCAGAGAAAAGAGGCCUGACUAAUAAGAAUAGGUCUACUUCCGUAUGUAAUCAAAGUAAUACUCUUAGGCAGUAUCCAUAAAUGAGUACCUCCUAUAGGCAAAGCCCUUCCCCAAAUGUACCAUCCAUUAACUUUUCCUGCUCUGAUGAUUACUGCUGUGGGAUGUUUGAAAAUCUGCUUGACCUCACUGUUCAUUGGUUUCUUCAUCUAUACAAUGAGAAUGGUGGGUUUGGGUUCCUUCUACUCUCUUUCUAGAUUAUUAUAUCUGUUCACUGAAUAGCCCUUGGAUUUGCAAGGGCUGAAAAGAGCCCUCUAUUUUCUUAAUGUCUAUUGAUUCUUUGUCCCUAUGUUGCAAUGUGGUAUAAGAACACGCUUCAAAUGUGAUAAGCCCUAGACAAGAUGCAUUACGACUCAGUCUCAUGCAAGUGAAAAAUGAAAAUGACUGACAGCAUAGGGAGGGGGGAGUGUGCAGAACAGAAAGCAGGGAGGCUGUAAAUCCAUGAAGAGGAGUGGGGAGAAAUUGCUGGAGGUGAUAAAAGAGAAGGGUGGCAGCAGCAAAUGUGGCUGAUUUAUUUUGCCUGAGGUAGGGAGGUCCUAGAUGGAUUAUUGGAUGCCAGUUUAAACUCUGCUCCCUUACUUUUACCCUAGCCCUUCUGGAAGACCUCAAGAUCCUUCCCCCUCAGAUCCUUCACUAUCCCAAUCCCAGUAACCAUGAAAUAGACACUAGUAUCUUAAAUGAACGAAAUAUUUCUGUUGGCCCUUGCCAAGAGCUGGAACGAGGAACCCAAAAGCAAAGAAGGUAACACAAAGAGAGACACAAACCCAGAAGAAUGGUGUCAGGAAGGUUAAAGCCCCUACAAAGGUGGGCCUUGCCGAUCAUGACCAGGGCAAUAAAAAGGCCCACUGGGUCAUGUUCAGAGCAAGAAGAUGGGCUAGACCCACAGUUUGGGAAACAGCACAGUGUUAACAAGUGACAAAGAGACCGAAGAGACACUAAGGUCCUAAGUACUUGCUCUCUUUCCUCUAUUGGAGACACAACCAGGUCUCUGAAUGCUCAGGCUGAGCUCAGGAUCUGGCACACAGUAGGAGUACAAUAAAAAUUUCUUCAGGGAAUGGAGAAUGAAUGGGAGGAGGAUAAAGAGGAGAAUGCCCUUGAAGUUCAACAGAGAGCCCAGGAUGUUUGAAAAAGUGUGAGAAAAGAGUCUGUGCUAUCAAUUCAAUCCAAAUCAGGAGCAAAAGUUCACUGUGGUAAUCAGCUCCGUAGGAAACAGACUGAGAUGGCGAUUGGGCGAGUGAAGGGGAUAGAAACAGGAUUGAACUGUAAUGCAGAUGCAAAAAAUCUCAGGUCCGCCCCAUAGACUGGCUGUUUAGAGUUGGCUCACCCUGAGGCAAGGGGGCUGGGUCUGUCUACCUCAUCAACCAGUCAGGGAUAUAGGCUAUGCUCCCGGACAAGGUGUGACCUUGGACCACCUGUGAACUGUCAGCAGUCAACACUCCCAAGAGCUGAGGGAAUGAGUGACUCAGUCUUGAAGAAAGAAUGUGUGGGCACACCAUGGCACCCACAAAUAAUUAAUCCCACCUCCUUAUUUUACAGGUGAAAAAAGUCCAGAGAUGAAAUCAUAUAGCCGGUUAACAGCCAAGCUGGGACAUCUCCCGAAAUGGUUAUUAGAGUGUUCCCACAGGCCUAGUGUAUGUGGAAUUUGGCAUGGGAUUUGAUGGAGCUACCAAUAUGGACAAAAAGGAGAAAGGGAGGUUAGAUCAAUGGUUCCCAAAUCUAGCUGCUACCAGCAUCGUGUGUGAAGGGUUACUAGAAGGCAGAUUCCUGGGCUCCAUUUUCAGAGAGUCUCUUAUGAGGGAGUCUGGCACAAAGCCUGAGAAUCUGUAUUUUAACAAGCGCCCACAUGAUUUUAUGUGGCACAUCUCCCAGCCUGCGCCUGGGAACCAGUGUAUGAGAAAAUAAGACAUUGCUGAAUAAUCUGUACAAAGUAUUGUCAAAUGAUGUUAUCCUGGAAGGAGAUCUCAUCUGGGUUCAAGAGGGCUCACUCCUGAACUCUGAUUUAGUCAACAAAUUUUAUCAACUUGAAGACUUCAGUAGCAUAUAUAUCCAACAAAGAGGACCUCAGAAUUGCAAGAGAUUACUAAUACUUUAGAUGAUCAAAUUGAGAUUUCAACAGAUUUCAACAUGUGGCCCUUCAGUAUGAUUUUACAGAUUGAUAUUUAUUGACACUGAAAGUUGUUCACAGUAUCUAAAAUGAGAGAAAGCAGCAGAGAGGCAGCGAGCGGGUAUGGUGGAUUAGAGCACAGACAUUGGAACCUAAUUGACUGCAUGGGUUCGAAUCCCAGCCUUACCGUUUACUCACUAUGUGGCCCUGAGCAAGCUUCUUCUUUCCCUGUGCCUCAGUUUCCUCAUCUGUAAAAUGGGAACAGUGCUAUGUAAUUAUAGUACUUGUCUCAUAGGGUUACUGUGAGGAUUAUGUGAGUGAAUAUGUAUAAAGGAUUUAUAACUGUGCCUGGCACAUAGAAAAUACUGUAGAAACAUUUGCUGUCAUUAUAUGUAAUUGUUUCAGUUAUCUAUUGCUGUUAAAAAAACCCAAAAAACUAUCCUUUGGGGUGCCUGGGUGGCUCAGCCGGUUAAGCAUCCAGCUCUUGGCUGGGGCACCUGGGUGGCUCGGUCCGUUAAGCGUCCGACUUCGGCUCAGGUCAUGAUCUCACAGUCUGUGAGU